rnacentral:misc_RNA from 1 species
CGAUAUCAUACAUUUUUCACAUUUUUUUACUUUUUAUUUUUGCACCUUUUUUCUUUGGUAACAUUGACAUGUUUAGAUUUUACUGAUAUUUUAAAUCUAUAAAUAUAUUUAUCUUAAAUCUUCUUCUUUGAAGAACAACAAAGAAGUUUAUCAUAUACACAAUUGUGGUUCAACCAGAGCUUUUUUGCCAGACGAAAAUGGAUGUUCUGGCAAGAAAUUAAUAAGAGCUGUAACCACCAUAACCAUCAUCUUCUGGAACCAAUACAUCAAAAUCGCUUACAGUCCACUCAGCAGUUUCACCCAUCUUGCUAACGUAUAUUUCCGUUCCAACAUUAAUUGAAGACCAUACACGCCUUGCUGGUUUUGUUCCAGGAUCCUGGUAGAAGUAUAAACGACUAGAAAGGGCCCCCACAUCAAGCUCCCAAGUCCUGGAGUCACCAAUCCAUCCAUCUCCUUUCUUUUCAGGAUAGCCAUGCACAGCCCAUUCAGGAUGUGGUAGAAUCUGUACCAAUUCCUGAGCUUGUGGAUUGCUAUAUGGAUCACAGAUAUCAUAUGGUUUCUCCAGAUACUCUGCGUUUCCUGGGCUGCAAUACAGAUGGUAAGCAGAAUAUGGAAAUCGAGAUGUCUCAUUUCUGUAAAUUAUUUCACCGGAAGGACUGACAUGGUAAGGCGGACAGGAAACUAAAUUAUCUGGACGGCACCAGCUUGUAGUUGCCGGGUUAAUUAUCAUCUCACUGUAUCUAGUCACAUCUGUUACAACAUCACCAUCACAUGGAUCUCCAUUGUUCUUCCAACAGCUUCCUAUAUCAAGAAGAUAAAAUUGACUAUUGCCCCCUCCUCCACGUGUAACAUUAAGUGUCAAUUUCACCUUAAAAUUUGGGGACUCAGGUAACUUUUUCAUGAUACCGCUGCCAUUAUAGUGAUAGCCUCCGUUAAAUCCUUCUGUUGCAUCAGCACGUAGAUACAACAUAAGCCAUGGAUACUUUGUGGAGGUUGUUAAUCUGUGCGAGAAAAUCCAACUCCCUGUGAUCAAAUUCUUAUGCCAAAUGACCGAAAAAUAGGAGUUAUUCCCUACACCUUUGCUCAAGUCAGCAUUAAGGUCAUAUGUCCCAUAGAACCCUCCAGUCAGAGACGCCAUUUCUUCCCCAUCAAAAACUAAUUUUGAGUAAUUAUGGUAAACAAGUGGUUGAUUCAUACACCCUUCACCAAAGCAAGGGAAGUUUCUGUCGGUUAUUAUUUUAGUGACUUUCUUCCCAUUUUCGGGACAAAGUGAAGUGUUUUUGUCAAAGUUGCCAUUCUUGAGCAUAAUCAUCCAAAAUUGCCAUGGUUUUGAGGAUUCAUGCACCUCGCAUAGAGAAGCAAGAUAUAGCUCCUUUUGCACUGCAAACUUGUCAGGGUCUUCAUAGGAUUCAAAUUCCGGUGUAGGAAACUUAUCACCAACCCCUAAGUUGUUGUCGGAGUCGUUCACUUUAUGAUGCACUUCACACUUGCUUAUAGUAUCAAAGUAGUUGAAACUUGGAGAAUCUGAAAAUUGAAACACAAAGCUACAAAAAGAUUCUUGAGAAAGUCAUGACUUUAUUUAUUUCCCAUUUUACACCACACAAAUGCAUUUACAUGAUUUGCUAGCGCUAUAUAUUACAAAUAAGGACUAACAAAAAUAUGCUUGAUUUGUAUACUAAGUUCACAAAAUCACAAAAUUAACUGAGCUGUUUCCAUUCUCAGUUAUGCAAGUUUUUCAAUAUAACAUAAUGGAAUUAUGGGAAUAAAGCCUUCUGCAAUGAUUAAAGCAUGCAAAAUGUGAAAAUGAGAGUCUAAAAGGUAAGCUCCAUUUACUGACAAAUUAAAAAUCAGCACCAUACGAGAGAAGUUAAUUAUGCAAGACUAUGCAAAGAUAGAGGAAAGCAUAAAUUUUAAAGGAUUUGCUGGCAAUAGAAUGCACUUAUGGAAUAGUUUGAUUGAAUAAAUAUAUUAAUUAAUAAAUAAUUGGAGAAAUGGAGUUCUGCUAAGUACAACAACAAUAGUGGAAUUGGGAAUAAAGAUACUAGCACCUUGAAAUGCCUGCAUGAAGUUCAACCCUUAAGCAAGUGGAAGGAAUUAACAAAAGGGGGGGAAAAAAAGGGAAAUCGACAACAUUGAAGGAAAACACUAAGGGGAAGGAUGUUGCAGAAGUAAUCACUAAUAUAAGAGGUAAAGGUGGAGAAAAUAGAAAGCAAAACUGACUAGGUUGAUGUACUUUUCAAAGGUUAUCAAAGCAAAGCAAAUAAGGUGAGGGAGUAUGAUCCAUUUGAAAUUGCCAUUGGUAACAUACUGGAUAAUGGAGAUGGCCCAAAUCCUUGAUGAAAUGUAAUGCAGUACUUUGGGAAAUUACUGCACGAAAAAGAAAAAGGAAAGAUGCUACCAAUUUCAAGUUAACUGAGGCUGACAUUUCGAAGCAUAUUAUGGUAUUGGCAUGAAGGUAGCCCAGAAAGCAAGGAAUGAAAUUGAACAAGAAGUGUUCAAUUAGUAAACAGGAACAUAUGCAUCAUAGACCGGUAAAUGUAGCCAUACUUGGUUAAGCACAUAGAAAUUGCAAGAGAAAAUAAAAAAAUGGGCAGACCUAAGAUAAUGCCAGAUAAAUUAGUGAAAACAGAUAUAGCAGCUCUUAAUAUUAAUAUGGCUGAGGCUUUUAGUUUGGAACUAACGCUAGGUAGAGUUGAGUUGUACAAGCAACUGCUUCAGAUGUUCAUAUUUUCACAGAUCUGUCCAUGAUUGACGACCCCAACCAAAAACAAGACCAUGUUUCUAGAUUUUGUGAAAAUAUCCCACAGAAAGCUGCAACUCUGUGUAAUGUAAAGCAGAGUGACAACAUUGAAUUCAAUGCAUCAUAUCCAAGUUCCACACGAACUGAAUUGGGUUCAGUCACCUAUAGCAUUCAAAACAUUCAGGUCAUAACAUAUGUUCUAGAUUCAAGAAUCAAUUGGCAAUGGAACAGAUCUACGUUCACAAUAUUUUUCCAAGAAACAUUAUAUGUAGUUGGCAUAAAUCACAAGAAAAAAGUAGCUACUUAAAAAACCCAAUGCUUCUUUAGAAACACAUAAAUCAGGAUAGCGUCUCCAGUGGUACUGCUACACAGUUAUUAAAUUCAGGGGAAGCGGGAAGGACAGAAAAGAACCAACCUAAUAACUGAAACACAGUUCAUUAAGGGUUGACUGGGUUGUUUGGUAGGACAUAGUGGAAUAUAAUCAAAUAUUCUAUUGAAAUUCAAUAGAAUCCGACCAAAGUAGCCUAAGCAAACUAUUUCAGCAAGUUGAUUCAUUAAAUUUACUUUAAAGAAAAUCAAAAUGGAAAAUCAAAACAACCAAAUUUCACUUGAAAAUCUAAAUGGGUUCUCAUUAAAAACUGCUUAAAGCAUAAGUGAAUCAAAAUUAUUCACCUUUUCUAUCUAUACAAUUGAUGGGAGUAUAAUAGUGAUAACCCCAAUUAUAGCAAAGGAACAAUUUACUACAUAAUUAAUUUAAGAAAACAUGAUUUUACUUAACAAGCUACAAAAACACACAAUAAAGAAACAUCGACACAUAAAUUACUAUUAUAAUGGCUAAUUACAUUAUAAUUAAUUAAUUGAUUUUAUCAAUUAUUUAACUGUAAAUAAUGAAUAAAUAAUUAUUUUAAUCAUCAAAUAACAGAACACAUGAAAAGGGGUAUACCAGAGAUUAAUGGGCAAUACAAAUCAGCACAAUCAGCCAGCCUGGGACUGCCCAUUUUGGGAGCUUCAAAGCCAACU